rnacentral:rRNA from 1 species
UGAGCACGAAGAUGCUACGGCAUCGAAGCAGUCUAUGUCAUACUUCCAAGAAAAGCUUGCAAUGUCAUAAACAAAUAAUGCCUGUACCAUAACCGACACAGGUGGGUAGGUAGAGUAUACUAAGGGGCGCGAGAUAACUCUCUCUAAGGAACUCGGCAAAAUGACUCCGUAACUUCGGGAGAAGGAGUGCCUUAUUUUUAUAAGGUCGCAAUAACAAGAUCCAAGCAACUGUUUACCAAAAACACAGGUCUCCGCGAAGUCGUAAGACGAUGUAUGGGGGCUGACGCCUGCCCAGUGCCAGAAGGUUAAAGAAGUUGGUUAGGAUUACCGAAGCUGAUAACUGAAGCCCUGGUGAACGGCGGCCGUAACAAUAACGGUCCUAAGGUAGCGAAAUUCCUUGUCGGGUAAGUUCCGACCCGCACGAAAGGCGUAAUGAUUUGGAUACUGUCUCGGAGAGGGGCUCGGUGAAAUAGACUUGUCUGUGAAGAUGCGGACUACCUGCACCUGGACAGAAAGACCCUAUGAAGCUUUACUGUAACUUGAGAUUGAAAUUGGACUUUAUUUGCGCAGUAUAGGUGGGAGACGUUGAAAAUAUUCUUGCGGGAAUAUUGGAGUCAUCAGUGAGAUACCACUCUUAUAAUGUUAGAUUUCUAACUUUGUAUCAUUAUCUGGUCAAAGAACAGUUUCAGGCGGGCAGUUUGACUGGGGCGGUCGCCUCCCAAAGGGUAACGGAGGCGCACAAAGGUUUCCUCUGAACGUGUAGAAAUCGUAUCUAGAGUGUAAAGGCAUAAGGAAGCUUGACUGUGAGACCUACAAGUCGAGCAGGGACGAAAGUCGGUCUUAGUGAUCUGACGGUGCUGAGUGGAAAGGCCGUCACUCAACGGAUAAAAGUUACUCUAGGAUAACAGGCUGAUCUCCCCCAAGAGUUCACAUCGACGGGGAGGUUUGGCACCUCGAUGUCGGCUCAUCGCAUCCUGGGGCGGUAGUACGUCCCAAGGGUUGGGCUGUUCGCCCAUGAAAGCGGUACGCGAGCUGGGUUCAGAACGUCGUGAGACAGUUCGGUCCAUAUCCGGUGUAGGCGUUAGAAUAUUGAGAGGAGCCUUCUUUAGUACGAGAGGACCGAGAAGGACAUACCUCUGGUGUACCAGUUAUCGUGCCAACGGUAAACGCUGGGUAGCUAUGUAUGGAGAGGAUAACCGCUGAAAGCAUCUAAGUGGGAAGCCCACCUCAAGAUAAGUA